AGGGUGUGUCUGCAUCUUCCGAGGUCUGGCAACAUCAGGAUGGGGCUGGGUUUGUCUGUCUUAUUCCAGAAGGCAUAUAGCUAAGGCAUAGCUAAGAUUUCAGCUGACAGUGGAGCAUGUUUUAGCGCUGAGUGUGAAGGGAUGAAGCUGGGGUGAGUGCAUGAUUUGGGGGAGGGUGGAGUCUGGCAUCCCAGGACCUGGUACCCUGAGACCUGGCACCCUGAGACCUGAUACCCUGAGAUCUAGCACCCUGAGAUAUGGCACUUUGCGACCAGGCACCCUGAGGCCUGGCACUUGGAGAUCUGGCAUCCUGAGACCUGGCACCCUGAGACCUGGUACCCCAACACCUGGUACCCAGAAACCUGGCACGCCAACGAGGUGAAGAUGACCCACAGCCGCCCUCACAGCCUGGGCACCGAGUGCCCGGUGGAAGGCUGCACCUGGGAGAAAUCCACAGCUUAGGCAGGUGGUCUAGGCAGUGUCACACCCCCAGUGGCGGAGGCUCCCUGGGACACGCUGGGUAAGACAGCGGGGGUCCAGGAGUCAAGUGUCGGGUGAGGACGACCUCCUGCGCCCACCAGACAGCAAGGAAGCACCCAGUGCC
rnacentral:lncRNA from 1 species